rnacentral:rRNA from 1 species
UGGGGAAUAUUGCACAAUGGGCGAAAGCCUGAUGCAGCAACGCCGCGUGAGUGAUGAAGGCCUUCGGGUUGUAAAGCUCUGUCUUUUGGGACGAUAAUGACGGUACCAAAGGAGGAAGCCACGGCUAACUACGUGCCAGCAGCCGCGGUAAUACGUAGGUGGCAAGCGUUGUCCGGAUUUACUGGGCGUAAAGGAUGCGUAGGCGGAUUUUUAAGUGAGAUGUGAAAACCCUAAGCUUAACUUGGGGACUGCAUUUCAUACUGGAAAUCUAGAGUGCGGGAGAGGAGAAUGGAAUUCCUAGUGUAGCGGUGAAAUGCGUAGAGAUUAGGAAGAACACCAGUGGCGAAGGCGAUUCUCUGGACCGUAACUGACGCUGAGGCAUGAAAGCGUGGGUAGCAAACAGGAUUAGAUACCCUGGUAGUCCACGCCGUAAACGAUGAGUACUAGGUGUAGGAGGUAUCGACCCCCUUCUGUGCCGCAGUUAACACAAUAAGUACUCCGCCUGGGAAGUACGAUCGCAAGAUUAAAACUCAAAUGAAUUGACGGGGUCAUAGCUG